AGUCAAACGAGGCAAACCGGGGAAACUGAAACAUCUCAGUACCCCGAGGAAAAGAAAUCAACCGAGAUUCCCCCAGUAGCGGCGAGCGAACGGGGAGCAGCCCAGAGUCAACAUCAAUAUUUACCGCAGGAGAAGGGUCUGGAAAGGCCGGCAAUAAAGGGUGAUAGCCCCGUAUCUGAAGCGGUAAGUGUUGUGAACUCGAAGAGUAGGGCGGGACACGUGUUAUCCUGUCUGAAUAUGGGGGGACCAUCCUCCAAGGCUAAAUACUCCUGACUGACCGAUAGUGAACCAGUACCGUGAGGGAAAGGCGAAAAGAACCCCGGCGAGGGGAGUGAAAUAGAACCUAAAACCGUGUACGUACAAGCAGUGGGAGCACCCGAAAGGGUGUGACUGCGUACCUUUUGUAUAAUGGGUCAGCGACUUAUAUUCUGUAGCAAGGUUAACCGCAUAGGGGAGCCGUAGGGAAACCGAGUCUUAACUGGGCGUUAAGUUGCAGGGUAUAGACCCGAAACCCGGUGAUCUAGCCAUGGGCAGGUUGAAGGUUGGGUAAC
rnacentral:rRNA from 1 species